UACAGAGGGGGCAAGCGUUGUUCGGAAUUACUGGGCGUAAAGGGCGCGUAGGCGGCCUUCUAAGUCGAACGUGAAAUCCCCGGGCUCAACCCGGGAACUGCGUCCGAUACUGGAAGGCUUGAAUCCGGGAGAGGGAUGCGGAAUUCCAGGUGUAGCGGUGAAAUGCGUAGAUAUCAGCAGGAACGCCGGUGGCGAAAGCGGCGGACUGGACCUUUUCUGACGCUGAGGCGCGAAAGCCAGGGGAGCGAACGGG
rnacentral:rRNA from 1 species